rnacentral:rRNA from 1 species
GACGAACGCUGGCGGCGUGCUUAACACAUGCAAGUCGAACGUGAUUUUUGUGGAAAUUCUUUCGGGAAUGGAAAUGAAAUGAAAGUGGCGAACGGGUGAGUAACACGUGAGCAACCUACCUUACACAGGGGGAUAGCCGUUGGAAACGACGAUUAAUACCGCAUGAGACCACAGAAUCGCAUGAUAUAGGGGUCAAAGAUUUAUCGGUGUAAGAAGGGCUCGCGUCUGAUUAGCUAGUUGGAAGGGUAAAGGCCUACCAAGGCGACGAUCAGUAGCCGGUCUGAGAGGAUGAACGGCCACAUUGGAACUGAGACACGGUCCAAACUCCUACGGGAGGCAGCAGUGGGGAAUAUUGCACAAUGGGGGGAACCCUGAUGCAGCGACGCCGCGUGAGCGAAGAAGGUUUUCGAAUCGUAAAGCUCUGUCCUAUGAGA